rnacentral:rRNA from 1 species
UAGGGAAUCUUCCGCAAUGGGCGAAAGCCUGACGGAGCAAUGCCGCGUGAGUGAUGAAGGUUUUCGGAUCGUAAAGCUCUGUUGCCAGGGAAGAACGCUUGGGAGAGUAACUGCUCUCAAGGUGACGGUACCUGAGAAGAAAGCCCCGGCUAACUAC